UUUGUGGGGGAUGUUGGCUGGCUCGAUGCGAUCGAACUUUUUCGCUGUUCUUACAAUAUAUGUGAAAUGUUCGGUGCAUCGGACCAGGCUUCAUUCCUCUCAAA
rnacentral:pre_miRNA from 1 species